CCAGACUCCUACGGGAGGCAGCAGUGGGGAAUAUUGGGCAAUGGGGGGAACCCUGAUCCAGCGACGCCGCGUGAGUGAAGAAGUAUUUCGGUAUGUAAAGCUCUAUCAGCAGGGAAGAAAGAAAUGACGGUACCUGACUAAGAAGCCCCGGCUAACUACGUGCCAGCAGCCGCGGUAAUACGUAGGGGGCAAGCGUUAUCCGGAUUUACUGGGUGUAAAGGGAGCGUAGACGGCGAUGCAAGUCUGAAGUGAAAGGCGGGGGCCCAACCCCCGGACUGCACUGGGAACUGUCAGGCUGGAGUGCCGGAGGGGUAAGCGGAAUUCCUGGUGUAGCGGUGAAAUGCGUAGAUAUCAGGAGGAACACCGGCGGCGAAGGCGGCUUACUGGACGGCAACUGACGUUGAGGCCCGAAAGCGUGGGGAGCGAACAGGAUUAGAUACCCGUGUA
rnacentral:rRNA from 1 species